AAUAAGUCAUUUGAGUUACACAAAAAUUGAUGGAAUAAAAUUAUCAAAAAAACUGAUUAAAUUAGCAUUUGCAUCAACAAACUAAAUAUAGUAUAUAGAUUGUUGGCUUAUAGGUAUAUGAAAAGUGGGCUUUACAAUUUAACGGUAGUUAAAAACAAACUAUUAUUAUUUUUAAAUUUAUUUGUAUGACUAACAUAUAUUCCUUUAUACUUUUUCUUCUAUUCCUUUAUAUUUCGUACUCAUUCUCUGAUGGCAUGACAAUUUAGAUGUCCAGAGGCAAAUACAAUAAUAAUUGGCUUUUAAGAUAAAUCUAAUUUGAGUUAGGAAAGAUGAUAGGAUAGAUAAAUAUCUUUAUAUGAUUAGUUAAAUGUGAAUUUGAGUUUCUUUAGCUUUUCUUUCAUUAUUUAUUAUCUUUCAUAAUAUUUUAAAUAUUUUUUCUGUUUCUUUUUAACAUUUUUAUUUGUUUGUUAAAUCUGUAGUCUGUAGAUUUUUACUAAAGUAUUUCUACCCGCCGCAUCGCGCGGGUCCCCAUGCUAGUAU
rnacentral:lncRNA from 1 species